UUCCUCUGGCAGCCCAGAGACACACACCAUGAGUGCCUGCCUGAGGCAGCCAAGCUUCCUCCCCACAGAAACCUCACAGCAGAGCCUCUGAAAUUUCUGUUCUUCACCAUUCAGACAGGGCAGUCAGGGAUUCAGGAGUGCUGGGGCUGAAAUAUGUGGCACAAGCUUUCAGGCUGAUUUAGUAGAAAGAGUGUCUUCAAAAUUCAUGACCCACCUGGCCAAGCUCUCCCACUCAUACAGAGAAGAGAUUUCCCAGAUUUCUCUGGAGCCAAGGCUGGACAACACCAACACUGUGCUUGCCAGGUGAAGAGGGCACAGGUGUGAGAAGGGCUGGAACCUCCACCUCUCAGACUCCCAACUUGCAUGACUUCACCCUGCCCUCGUCAGGCCACGCCACCCCCCAGUAGCUGCAGGACACAGGCAGCACAAACGUCUUGCACUGGCAGCUCCUACAUUAUAAUAAUUCUAUGAUUUUAUGAAUUGAUGAUCAAGCUGGAUGCAGCCAGUGUGAUACCUGUCAAAACACCAAAUGGAUAUGUUACACAACCAGGUAGAAGCAGAGCAGCUGCAGCACUGGAGGUGGCUGCACAGGGAGGACACACACACAGAGUGCAGGUACACAUCCCAGGCUCCCUCUGACUUUCAUGUUGAUGCUCACAAAGAUCUGGUAACAUCUCACACCAAAUUUCUUGCUUGGGGCUUUCCAUUUGCUUUUGUUGUCACAUUUUAACAACGAACUCUCUGUUAGCCAGGGCGGCUGAGUGAAAAAUGAGAGUUCAGCUGAAUGUCAGGUGUGGGGGGAAAGUGUGAAAGCUGCUACCAAAAAGCCAUGACAUACUUCAAAAACAUUUUUAUCUAAGACAGAAAAAGAGGGCACUGCUGGGGAAGUGAAAAUGGGAGUGACUCAUUAUCGUUAGCUUGAAGUAGAAGCAAUCUCUCAGUUUCUGAAUGAAGCUCAGAGCCAUCACUCCAAGGGGUGAGCUGUCCCGUGUGGGCAGUGCCUGCCCCAGCCAGGAACAGUGUCAUGCACUCCUCAUUCCUCGACAUGCUGAAAGGCUGCAGCAUCUGCAACCCUGUCCAUCAGAAACCCUGGCACAGUCUGCCAGCAGCUUUGCUUUGCUAACUUCAAAAUCCCACUUCUGCCUGCUAACAUUUUCCUACCAAGGCGAGCACUCUCUAAUUCUACCUUUCUGGCCCUUGACUUUCCAGCCAGGCUCCCUGCUUUGGUUCAGUAAAAAUCUGGCACAGAUAUUUCAGGCCUGACUUCCAUCAGCCUCCAAAUUGCAAGAGCAAUUCUGUAAGUCUUUAGCCCUGUGGGUUUCACAGCACACAGUUAAAACCCUUGCUCUGUGUGGCUGUAUAAAAACAGGCUCCAGAAGCACCACAUUUCCCCCAAAAGUCACCUUGCACUGCCAGGGACGAAAGGACCAGCUGUUCUCAGUGCCACAGCAGAGGCUCUGCACCAUGUCCCCAGCACACCAUCCUGCACACCCCACAUCGCUCACACAGCUCCUCUGCAUUGCUGCACCUAUUUCAUGACUUCCCUGCAUUUAUACGUCUGCCUGUCACAAAGGUUAUUUAUUACCUGUUUUUCCUGAGAAGAGCCCUCAGUGGCAGAAGGAAAGGAGCUGCCUGAUCUGAUCUGGUUCUGUGGCAGAGAGGCAGCAAUGGGCAUUUUCUCAGCAGGCAGUGCGGGCAGAAAGCCAGGAGUGAUCCUGGGGCAGGAAGGAAGAGAUUCUUGUUUAACCUGUAAUUUAACAGUCACAUCUUUUACUGCUGCUCACUUCCUUUCCUUGCUGGUUAUUCUGCUGAAUGGAAGAUACUGCUGGUACCCCAAUACCUUUCUACUCCCCCACUGACAACUGAGCAAUCCUGGAGAUUUAAGUCCUUUAUUUUACCAUUCCGAGGCUGCUUCCUGCCAUGUUCUGGGCACUGCCCAUGCCAGGCUGUAGUGCCCUGGGGGCUGCUCCCUGUCCCCUCUGCCAGGCCCAGGGGCCAGAGCAGGCUCUGUGCCUGGGAGAAGCACACCCACCAGUGCAUCUUUGCUCUCUGCCACUGCAGUUACAGGGUUCCAUCUCAAAUCAUGGUUAUAUUCACAGGGCUUUCGUGAUUUUAGAGGGGGAGUGGGUUUGGCUUUGGUUUUGUUUUGAAAGAAACAGAACUUUGAAACAUGUGAAAGGUGAA